rnacentral:rRNA from 1 species
UACGUAGGGUGCGAGCGUUGUCCGGAAUUAUUGGGCGUAAAGGGCUCGUAGGCGGUUUGUCGCGUCGGGAGUGAAAUCCACUGGCUUAACUGGUGGCUUGCUUUCGAUACGGGCAGACUGGAGGUAUGCAGGGGAGAACGGAAUUCCCGGUGUAGCGGUGAAAUGCGCAGAUAUCAGGAGGAACACCAAUGGCGAAGGCAGAUCUCUGGGCCGAUACUGACGCUGAGGAGCGAAAGCGUGGGGAGCGAACAGG